ensembl:lncRNA
UUCAACAUGACAUCAAGUAAACGGAUUAAUGCGACAUGAGAACAGCAAGGCCUCGCUUUUAUCGCAGCUCAUCAAACAUAGACUUUACAGAGUACAGGGCGACCUUUCGACAACCCCGGCAGCUCCGGUGUCUGGUUCACCGCCCCCACACCCCAACCAACCCGACCCCCGCUUCCUCCAAAUGCCACAGGUACCCGUCACUUCCUGUCUUGGAGAAGGUCAAGGCAUUAACAGCAUAUUUAAUCUCAGAUGCGUCUCUCCCCUUUUACUUACACAGCCUGACACGCCUCUUCAUACUUCUGCAUUGAAGUGUAUUUGCAAGGCAAAACAGAGAGGGGGGUUUAUGGGUAAAUGUAGCAUGCAGAGCUGCACUGACGUGCCAACAGCGCGUCACGUUUAUCAUCGGUGCUUUGAGUUAACCAACCUUCAGGCGAACACCGAUUGGUCCUAGUAAAAUUUACUCACUGGAGCACAAGGAUAAUGGGUUUAUAACACCACAUCGGGUUUAAAAUGAGUGACGCUGGUUAUAAUGAUCUCCAAUCAGCUCUUAAACUCUUUGUUUUUCUCUUCAGGGCUCAGUCGUGUCACGUUGAAACACAUGGAAGAUGUUAGAGAUCAAAACGGAAGACCUUCUGCCACUACAUUUGGUCACGAGGACAAACGCAAUACCGUUUCGUCAAUGACGUCAGAGUGUCCACACGGUACAAAAUAAUGCCGCUGGACUUGCUCAUAAUCUGCAUCAAUAUUUGACACUACAUUAAUAGUAUCUGAUGUAGGUAGGCGCACACACACUUGCACGGAGAUCGCCGACGUACAGCUUUUCCUACAAGCAGUCCCUCAAGGGUUUCGUGAGCACAGAAAAUCCGAGGAGAUUUUCCGCAGGUUAGGGUCGAGACGAGUCACGUGACGUCAUCACGACGCGCGUUCAGCCAGAGCAGUCUUCGAUUCACGUGCGUAGCUGAGAGGUCUCGUUUACCAACAAACAUUACCGCGAAAGACCGUGCGAGUGCAAUUUCGCCAAUGCGAGUUGUUUUCCCACCCACAAAGAAUACAAAAAAUUGUUAAUUUAGAAGAGCAAAAUCAAUUAUUCUUGGAUGUAACAGUCAAAAAAAAAAAAAAAAAAAAAGGAUUCCGGUGAAAUCCUGUACGAGAGAUCGUACGCCAUUCUUUCCAAAUCUCAAUCUCAAUAUCACACGACUCAAGAAAUAAAGAAUAAAUGUACUGAGAAAUACAAGAAGGUAGAAAGCGUUCAAGCGUAUAUAUACUAAUCUAUUAAGUAAGGAAUGAAACGCGAUGGGCGUUGCUUUUAUAGGAGAUUAAUCAAUGACAUACCGUACUUUUUAUCCAUUCAUAGUUACUGUUGUGGAACGCCCAUAAAACAAGUUUCUGUUAUACCAGCUAUAAACAGCUGCUCCGUCACCAGCGUCAUUCUAUUUUCCCUCUCUCUUAAAAACCAAAAAAAAGACCGUUGUCAUGAUACUAAAGAGAGACACAGUUCCAACAUUGUGAAGACUUUCCUAUGUUGGAAAACCACCUCUGAUGUUAACGUGCUGACACUGGAGACUCCUUCCAUAAACGUUACGAAGCGUCACCGUAUCAUUGGCUACGAUUUUUUUUAUUUUUUUUGGUUAAAUCAUUUUAUCAGUCUUAGAAAUAUGGGAGGUAUAUGCUAUUUAAGUCACUGUGUAAGUUGUUACCAUGGAAACAAUAGCACAUAUUUGAGAACUUAGCAGCAUGUGCUGUGAUGUACAAUUAUUCAAAACAAUGCACAAAUCUCAUGCUAUGAGAUUCAGGAUGUGACAUGUGAGGGAAAAUGAAGUCCCCUGAAGGCCAUUCUGCUAACUGCUUUAAUGUGGCUCACUACCUGUCUGACCUGCUGGGAAAAACAGGAUUGAUGAAUAGUGCGAGGGCACAGCGCCUCCUGAAUCCAGCCUGGUGACUAAUCAAUAGAGUGGCAGUGAUGCCUGGCCCAGAGGCUCACGCAUCAAUCAGCAUCAAGCGCCUCGUAUUCGGCCUUCGUCUCGCUGACAGCAUCCUCGAUGCCGGUCUGCGUAUGAGCCAUAGCUGUCUAUUACUCUUGGCAGAUGGACCACGCGUACCAAGCGCACCGCCUGGCACGAAUAACAGGCACUAAGGGAGCUUUAAUGUGGGUAGUGGAGAGAGUAGAACGAAAAAAGCAUGUUAUCUCUGCUUCACUACAUAGAUGGGAGGAAGUGACAGGCCAAUUCAGGCUGAUCAAAGUCACAGAGACCAAGUUAGCAAAACAGAGGAAGUGCAUGUCCUCGCUGUCGGUGUAAUCGGAGCGGUUUGUCCUGGGUUGUCGACGCUCCCUCCCCUCGCUUCGCUUUAAAACCCACAUGCCCCUCUUAGACAGAUGCCGCACUCUAUAAUCUAAAAGUGGCACUGGAUUAAUCAACACCUUGCUCUCGUGAGCCCUCAGACACCACGAAACGAAAGAACAUCCUGCUGUCCACAAAGACCGCAGCUCAACAGCACCUCACGGUGGCCAAAGCCUUUUAGGAGUGUGCACCUGUUACGGAACACAUGCAGAGCUUAAAGAAUGGUCCUCAGGGUGAGGACAGGAACACAGUGUCCCUGAAGGGAAAUUAGUCAUGUACGGAAAAGAUCAGCGCGGACUCAGAUCAGUGAUGCCUAAUGAAUGUGUCUCCCGGGAUGGUUAAUGGCCGUUUAUAGACUGGACGCCAUUCCCAAUAAGCCAUGUCCCCUAAACCCUUCAGAACCUCCGAGAUAGAUAACAAUAUAGCUGGAGAAGCAAAAUUGGUAUGGCAAACUUGGAAGUGGGGGGGGGGGGGGGGGGGGGAUGUGUGUGAAACUCAGUGUGGUGUUAGUAAAGUGUGUAAACCAUGACGAGCCUCCAGCGUAGCUUCAAAGCUCCUUUUUAUAGAUUCUAUCCAUCUUUGGAACCAUAUUGUAGUGAUUAUCAUUGUUCCUCCAAAUGAUAUUCCAUCAGUUGGUGCUUUAAUAACAGCAGUGAAGAACGCCAACAAGUUGCUACAACCCGUGUUCGACUGGGUUGAGAUUUGAUAAGCGUGAAGGCCAUAGCAUAUUAACAUCGGACCAUUCUGGGAGUCCUUGUGGCCUGUGGAUGACGACGUCUGACCCCAGACACAUUAAAGACACCGGCCGUGCUGGGAUGGCCACAGUGUUUGGGAAGCCAUUUUGAAACUAGCUUUUCAAGCUACUCAUAGUCUGAAGAGGUCAAGCUAUAUUUUAAAAAUAAAUAAAUAAAUAAAUAAAUAAAUAAAUAAAUAAAACAAACAAACAAAAAGUAGUUAGCUACACAGAAGCAACUUAAUUGGGUGACAUUUUUGGUACGUCAUGAUUGUGAACCAGCUUAAGAAUAACUGUAUAAUUCUGCAUAAACAGAUUAAACAAUUUAACAGAACAAUCACGCUCAUUUUCUAAACGGGUCUUUCACAUUAGAAGAAUUUUAAUCUCUGUUUUGCAAAGAUUCCAUAUAACAAGGUGUAAGAUUUUUUAUUUGAUUCCUUAAGGCAGCGUUUUCGUGUUUGCACGCCCUUUUUUUUUCUAACUUACCGCGUGGCGUUGGAAUUGAAUGACUUCAAGGUGAAUCCUGCCGAAAGGUAUGAUUGUAGGCUACAGGUAUCUCUAUGAUCCAUCCAUGCGGGACCAUAGAGACAGCCAGAUGGCACAAAAUUCAUGGAUAGGUUUUUUUUUUUUUUAAAUAGUGAUUUGGAUUUGCUUUGUACAUUCUGUUGAAAAAAUAAAGCCAAAGCUGAAAGUGUUUUUGGGGAGUGCACCAUGUUUUCAUUCAUCACUAUCUUCACAAAAACACAGUGAUUGAACCGCUUACUUUUCUCUUUAUACAGAGAGACGUUUACAUGGACGGGUGGCCAUACAGAGCGAACAUCCUGUAAUAACUUCCUUUUGUCUCUAUACAUGUGAUGCAUGAACAUGAUCACCUGAUUUUGUAAAUGUGAGAAAUGACAUUUGCAGGAAGCUCCCACUUUUUGCUUAUGUAUACAGUAAUGAAAAAUGUUUACAAAAUGAGCCUACAAUAAAUAAUAAGCCUAUUUAAGGAAAGCAAAAGAUCCAUGUUUAAUAAUGUAAAUGAAAAAAGUAAAAAAAAAUAUGGAGGUUCAAUUUAGAUUUAUAGCCUACAUAUUCUCAUUUAGCUUGGUUCCUACAAUCCCUACUCGUUUGGAAAAAGUACCUCGUUACUUGGAAAGCUAGACUAUUUUUUAAAGUAACAAAGCUGUCACACUACUGAAAGUGUAGUUAAGUUAGUAAUGUAGCUACUUGUAAUUAGCUACGCACAAACACCGGAUGUCUGCUAUAUUUACAUGCAAAACAAUCAUUCAAAGGAUGUUAGAAGUGACCAUGUCUCUUAUUUUCUCACACUCUGAAUGUGCUGCUCUCUCUCUGCACAGGAAACAAUGAUUAAAAUUCACUUCCCAAGCCUCUCCUACACCUAAUCAUUUCUGUUUCCUGUACAUAGCCUACCCGACUAACGUGACUAAAGACUGCACGACUCGGACCAGAAGACCCAGUUGAACGUUGAAUUAAUACUCACUCAAUUUGUCCUUAUGUGUGGAAGUGCUAGCUCAGUGGUCAAGACGGUGAUAGGAAGGUCGCGAGUUUAAACCCAAGAUGCAACUGCCGGGCCCUUGACCCUCAAAUGCUCAGUUGUGUAUACAUUUUUUUUUUUAAAUAAAGAGACAUAAUUCGAAGUCACUCUGGAUAAAUGCGUCUGCCAAACGCCAUAAAUACCCAUGUAAGCGUGUUCGGGGGAAAUCGGCUACUAAAGCUAACAUUUACAUUUCAACACAAUUCUGCUCAUAUGAACAAAAUGACGAAGCUCGGUUCAUUUGGCAGCACGAGAUUCAAAUUCAAAGACCCAAGUAAAAUGAUCUGAUCUUCUCAUCACUAACAGACACCCAACAUUAAUGAUUAUGCAACGUUUGGGGGGGGUCAAGGUGUUGAGUCGGGCAGAACCCUUGUAGGUGUUCAAGAUGUCAGAACAUCCUAGCUUUUACAAAGGAAAAGGCCAUAAAAAGAAUUGUACUUUGAACCACUGAAGAUAUUUCCGUGUUCCCAAAGCUUUGAUCUUUGCUUCACAACUUUUUUUUGUUUAGGAAAAACCUAUAGUGGGCACCUUGCGUACCGUUUUACACCAAUAACUUACCUGGGGUUUUUUUUGGUAUUGUUUUCUUAUUCCAGAUGUACUGUUGCAAUUGCGUAUGGUUUGUGAAAUGGUAUCAAUGGGUCACAGUUUGUAAAGUAAUUUUCUCUACGGUUAAAAAAAAUUAUUUCCCCCUACAUUAAUAAUUAAUAGAAAUACCCUGAAUAAUAGCAUUUCUCCUGGACCUUAUGCAAAGUCAGAAAACAUGCCAAAAGUGUAAGCAAAAUAACUUUAAUACAUUUUCUUUAAACACAAAUUUAUAUACAAAGUGCACAAGCCUGGUUACCUUUCAAACAUCUCCACAGUGAACUCACAGUGCAUCAGAGUACAAUAAGAGUGAUCAGAAUAAGAGUUACCCAGGCCUGAAGACUGGGAGCCUUUCGGCCUCGUGUCCUUCUGACCGCCGCUGCUCAGAAAGUUCAGCUGAAAGCCAUCAGCGAUGGAGCAGGAGACCUGCAAAAGUCUCUCGAACACAGAUGCACAGCAGAACACAAACACAAUAUAGAGCAUACACACACACCUUUGUGGAGCAGGUUUACCUGUGUGCUCAUGUGUCUGAGCAGGCGUGGGCGGGGCUUACACUCUCGGGACAGCGGCACAUGACGCAGAGCCACGAGCCUCCUGCUGCGCAUGCGUGUCGCUGUGAGACAAGGAGAGCCAAGAGAUGAACCCUUGUUUGUAUAUAAUGCGUCAGCAAAAACAGACUUUUUGAUUUUAAAAACCUUCAACAUGGUUCUCAAAAUGUUAGCAAAACACAGUAGUGGGUAACACGAACUUGAGUUACAAUAUCAACCCUCACUUUAAUUUUAAUCAGGUUCAGCCGGCAAGUUUCCGGACUUCUUGGUUUUUUUCCCCGGCCCAAGAUGGCGGCCGUCAAAAUGGCGUCGAUUCAGAUCUCAUUCUGAAAGAACACGCUCUCGAAGUCCCGGUGCUGAAAGUCCAGAGUGUCCUCGUUAGUAUACCGAGAGUUGUAGGAAUACGUUUGUUCGUGUUGAGGAGGUAAACAGUUACUCAGUUUAGGGGACAGCGCGGUAAUGUUCAGGUCGCUGUAGACUUGCUCCAUGAGGUACUGCGUGGUGUUUCUCGGCGCCAUCGCUCCCGACGGGAGCGCGUCUGAAUGUUUCUGCUUCUCCUUCACCGACGCCAAGCUGUGAGAACGACGUCCAGGCUUCCUCGACGACCUCCGUACAGCGGCUUCCACAACACCCGUCUUCCUUCUAAACCCGUUGGAGCGGCUUUCGCGCUGCUUUCUCCCUUCUGUUCCCAUGUCGUCAAUACACAUACCGACGCGCGUACUAAAACAAGUACGUUAUUUAUAAUAAGUAAAUAACUUAAACAAAAGAUAAUUUAGUUUUGCGGAAUCAAAAACUAAACCGCUGACGAAGGAGAGAGAUGUUCGCUUGGGCGUUUUCUCGACGUUUCUGUUUCGCUACACUUGCUGCAUCACGCAUACAACGUUGAAAUCAGGCGGAAGUGACGACAGGUCAUCAUCCAAUCAGACGCCGCUUCUUCUUACUCCAGUUCUAAUUUUCUAAGUUCUAAAGUUCCAGUUCAGCAACGACAGGACAACAUCACCCGCCUGUGACAGUAAUGCCUCCCUUCCAGAACAACUUCUGUGCUCGGUUUGAGACACAGAAUGACGUGGCAGUGAGGAUCACCACAUUCUACACAGGAACUAUUGAGAGCAUCUUGAGCAGCUGCAUCACUGUCUGGUUCUGAAAUUGCACCUCACUGGUUUCGCAAGACCCUGCAGCGGAUAGUGAAGACAGCUGAGAAGAUCAUCGGGGUCUCUCUCUCCCCAUCACAGACAUUUACACCACAUGCUGCAUCCGCAAAGUCACCAGCAUUGUGGAUGACCCCACACACCCCUCACACACACUCUUCACCCUCCUGCCGUCUGGAAAAAGGUACCGAAGCAUUUGGGCCCUCACAACCAGACUGUGUAUCAGCUUCUUCCCCCAAGCUAUCAGACUCCUCAAUACUCAGAGACUGGACUGAUGUAUGCACACACACACACACCAUGAACUGAACACCAUCCAACUCCCAUUGAAAUAUUUGCACAUUUCUGCAUUGACUCUGUUGCAUUUUUUGCUGCUACUGUAUUAUAAAAAUAUAGUAUCCAAUUUAUUGUCACUAUAUACACUUUAUAUACACUUUACCUGGCUGUUACCACUAUAACUGCUAUGUUCAUAUUUGGUGUAAGCUAAUUUGCUGAAUACUCAGUCUUAGCAUGUUAUGUUUACAUUUACACCAUUUUAAAAUUAUAUUGUUACUCCUUGGCACCUAUCUUCUGCACUACCUAUUAUAUCGGACACUUCCACACUAGAACUGUGUACUGUUCGGCGCUACACUGUCACUUACUGUGCAUAUUGUCCUGUUUUAGUAGUACUCUACUGUCCUGUGUUGUUAGCACACAUUUGCACGUGCACUUUAUGUAGAAUGUUUGCAGAUCUUAUUUAGUUCUGUGUCUCAUGUGGUUAGUGUGUUGUUUUAUGUAGCACCAUGGUCUUAGAGGAACGUUGUUUCGUUUCACUGUGUACUGUACCAGCUGUAUAUACAGUUCCUACAGUACACAGUGAAACGAAAUGACAUGACUGAAAUGACAAUAAAACCACUUGAACUAAUAGCCCAUGUACAUGAAAGCAGUAUUAUUACCACAAGAUCUGUCUAUCGAACUAAAUAAAAACUAAAUUCCCAUUAAUAAUAGAUACAUUGACCAUUUCAUGCAUGGUGUCAAC